UGGUCUGAUCAGUCAGAUCAAACGAGCAGCCACUUCAAUACCGUUAAACAUAGCCGAAGGUUAUGGAAAGAAGCAAAGCGCAGCGGAAUUCAAACGAUAUCUGCUGAUGUCACUCGGUUCAUGUAAUGAGAUGCAGGUGCUGUUGGACUUAUGUAAGGAUAUGGAUUACAUAAGUGAAAAGAAGCAUUUACAAUAUUACAAUGAAUAUGACGAGAUAGGCAGAAUGCUGAAUGUAAUGGUAUCAAGAUGGAAGUGAGCGAUCUAACAGCUAACAUCUGAUUUCUAACUUCUAGAGGGGUAGGGGAGCGUCGCAUGCGGGGUGAAGUCAGAGCGUAAGCGCUGGUGGACUGCAUGGGAGAGAGAAUGCCGGAAUAAGUAGCGCGAAUUAUGUGAGAAUCAUAAUGGCCGGAAGCCUAAGGUUUUUGGAGGAAGGUUCGUCCGCUCCAAGUAAGCCGGGAGCUAAGGUGAGGCCGGAAGGCGUAGCCGAUGCACAUACUGUUGAAAUUCAGUAGCCACCAAAAUUGUUAAGCAAGGGGACACUCAGGAAGGGCACAACCCGGCCGAUGGUAGCGCCGGGCGUAAGGGAGCGAAAUUAGAGUAGCGAAGUGUGCGUGGAAUGAGGCGAGAAAAGCCUUGUGUAUUGAUGAGGUGCCCGUACCGCAAACCGACACAGGUAGGCAGGAGGAAGACUCUCAGGCCAACGGGAGAAGGGUUGUUAAGGAACUCGGCAAGUUGACCCCGUAACUUAGGGAUAAGGGGUGCCACGCAAGUGGCCGCAGAGAAUAGGCCCAGGCAACUGUUUAGCAAAAACACAGGUCUCUGCUAAAUCGAAAGAUGAAGUAUAGGGGCUGACACCUGCCCGGUGCCGGAAGGUUAAGGGGAGAAGUGCAAGCUUUGAACCGAAGCCCCGGUAAACGGCGGCCGUAACUAUAACGGUCCUAAGGUAGCGAAAUUCCUUGUCAGGUAAGUUCUGACCCGCACGAAUGGUGUAAUGAUCUGGGCACUGUCUCAACAACCUACCCGGCGAAAUUGUAGUGCUGGUGAAGAUGCCAGCUACCCGCGAUUAGACGGAAAGACCCCAUGGAGCUUUACUGUAGCCUGAUAUUGGAUUUCUGCACUUCAUGUACAGGAUAGGCGGGAGACUAUGAAACAGUGGCGCCAGCCAUUGCGGAGUCACCCUUGGGAUACCGCUCUUGAAGUACGGGAAUUCUAACCAUCUACCGUGAAACCGGUCGGGGGACACUGUCAGGUGGGCAGUUUGACUGGGGCGGUCGCCUCCAAAAGAGUAACGGAGGCGCUCAAAGGUUGGCUCAGCACGGACGGAAAUCGUGCUUUAGAGUGCAAACGCAAAAGCCAACUUAACUGCGAGGCCGACGGGCCGAGCAGAUACGAAAGUAGGAGUUAGUGAUCCGGCGGUUGUAAGUGGAAAUGCCGUCGCUCAACGGAUAAAAGCUACCCUGGGGAUAACAGGCUGAUCUCCCCCAAGAGUCCACAUCGACGGGGAGGUUUGGCACCUCGAUGUCGGCUCAUCGCAUCCUGGGGCUGUAUUCGGUCCCAAGGGUUCGGCUGUUCGCCGAUUAAAGCGGUACGCGAGCUGGGUUCAGAACGUCGUGAGACAGUUCGGUCCCUAUCUGUCGCGGGCGCAGGAUAUUUGAGAGGUUCUGUCCUUAGUACGAGAGGACCGGGAUGGACGCACCGCUGGUGCAUCAGUUGUCUCGCCAGAGGCAUGGCUGAGUAGCUACGUGCGGAACGGAUAAACGCUGAAGGCAUCUAAGCGUGAAACCGGCCUCAAGAAGAGAUAUCCCACACCGUUAAGGUGGUAAGACUCCUUGAAGACAACAAGGUUGAUAGGCCGAAGGUGUAAGCAUCGUAAGGUGUUUAGCUGAUCGGUACUAAUAAGUCGAGGGCUUGACCAG
rnacentral:rRNA from 1 species